GAUGAACGCUGGCGGUAUGCUUAACACAUGCAAGUCGAACGGACUCUUCGGAGUUAGUGGCGGACGGGUGAGUAACGCGUGAGAAUCUGGCUUUGGGUUCGGGACAACCACUGGAAACGGUGGCUAAUACCGGAUGUGCCGAGAGGUAAAAGAGAAAUUGCCUGAAGAUGAGCUCGCGUCUGAUUAGCUAGUUGGUGAGGUAAAGGCUCACCAAGGCAGCGAUCAGUAGCUGGUCUGAGAGGAUGACCAGCCACACUGGGACUGAGACACGGCAGAGACUCCUACGGGAGGCAGCAGUGGGGAAUUUUCCGAAAUGGGCGAAAGCCUGACGGAGCAAUACCGCGUGAGGGAAGAAGGCUCUUGGGUUGUAAACCUCUUUUCUUAGGGAAGAACAAAAUGACGGUACCUAAGGAAUCAGCAUCGGCUAACUCCGUG
rnacentral:rRNA from 1 species